rnacentral:rRNA from 1 species
AUUGAACGCUGGCGGCAGGCCUAACACAUGCAAGUCGAGCGGGUGAAGGGAGCUUGCUCCUGGAUUCAGCGGCGGACGGGUGAGUAAUGCCUAGGAAUCUGCCUGGUAGUGGGGGAUAACGUCCGGAAACGGUCGCUAAUACCGCAUACGUCCUGAGGGAGAAAGUGGGGGAUCUUCGGACCUCACGCUAUCAGAUGAGCCUAGGUCGGAUUAGCUAGUUGGUGGGGUAAAGGCCUACCAAGGCGACGAUCCGUAACUGGUCUGAGAGGAUGAUCAGUCACACUGGAACUGAGACACGGUCCAGACUCCUACGGGAGGCAGCAGUGGGGAAUAUUGGACAAUGGGCGAAAGCCUGAUCCAGCCAUGCCGCGUGUGUGAAGAAGGUCUUCGGAUUGUAAAGCACUUUAAGUUGGGAGGAAGGGCAGUAAGUUAAUACCUUGCUGUUUUGACGUUACCAACAGAAUAAGCACCGGCUAACUUCGUG